CCUACGGGAGACAGCAGUGAGGAAUAUUGGACAAUGGUCGGGAGACUGAACCAGCCAAGCCGCGUGAGGGAGGAAGGUCCAGAGGAUCGUAAACCUCUUUUGUCAGGGAACAAAGCCUGGCACGCGUCCCCGGAUGAGUGUUCCUGACGAAAAAGCAUCGGCUAACCCCGGGCCAGCAGCCGCGGUAAUACGGGGGAUGCGAGCGUUAUCCGGAUUUAUUGGGUUUAAAGGGUGCGCAGGCGGACUGUUAAGGCAGCGGUCAAAGCCCGGGGCUCAACCCCGGCCCGCCGUUGAAACUGGCAGUCUCGAGUGGGAGAGAAGUAUGCGGAAUGCGCGGUGUAGCGGUGAAAUGCAUAGAUAUCGCGCAGAACUCCGAUUGCGAAGGCAGCAUGCCGGCUCCACACUGACGCUGAGGCACGAAAGCGUGGGUAUCGAACAGGAUUAGAUACCCGAGUAGUC
rnacentral:rRNA from 1 species